UACGUAGGGCGCAAGCGUUAUCCGGAAUUAUUGGGCGUAAAGAGCUCGUAGGCGGUUUGUCGCGUCUGCUGUGAAAGCCCGGGGCUCAACCCCCGGGUCUGCAGUGGGUACGGGCAGACUAGAGUGCAGUAGGGGAGACUGGAAUUCCUGGUGUAGCGGUGAAAUGCGCAGAUAUCAGGAGGAACACCGAUGGCGAAGGCAGGUCUCUGGGCUGUAACUGACGCUGAGGAGCGAAAGCAUGGGGAGCGAACAGG
rnacentral:rRNA from 1 species